rnacentral:misc_RNA from 1 species
UCCGGUUUGGCACCGGCAGUCUUCCUAGAGUCCCCGCCAUUACGCGCUGGCAACUAAGAACAGGGGCUGCGCUCGUUGCGGGACUUAACCCGACAUCUCACGACACGAGCUGACGACAGCCAUGCAGCACCUGUCUCUGCGUCCCUUGCGGGAAAACUCCCAUUACGGAGCGGUCGCAGGAUGUCAAACCCUGGUAAGGUUCUGCGCGUUGCGUCGAAUUAAACCACAUGCUCCACCGCUUGUGCGGGCCCCCGUCAAUUCCUUUGAGUUUCAACCUUGCGGUCGUACUCCCCAGGCGGGGUACUUCCUGCGUUAGCGCCGGCACCCAGAGGGUCGCUCCCCCAGGCACCUAGUACCCGUCGUUUACGGCGUGGACUAC